rnacentral:lncRNA from 1 species
GGACGGAGGCAGCCGUUAGGAACGGCCCCACUCCACCAGCCGGCCCCGCGGGACGGUUACUCUGUUCCUGAGAUUGUCUGUGGGGUCAGAAACAGCUCUGGAGGGGCCUGCAGAAAUUACUUUCCCAAGUCUUUGGGCUGGAAGGAACGAACAGUGCCUGACCAAGGACUUUGAGCAGGAGAGAGAUGGGAGCAGAGAGGAGCCAAGGUCCACUAUUUUCACUUCUGUCAAUUAGAUCAAAGCCCUGCCCAGAAGCUUUGAGCGCCGCUGUCAAGUCCCAUUCCUCCCCUAAACCAUCCAGGUUCCAUCUGCCUUGAAGCCAAAGGAUCUUCUUAGAUUCCUCAAGAAAAAUUCAGGCCCCGAGUUUCUCCACCAGCACUCUCCUCUCCCCGAAGGAGUGGGUGGGCUGCAUUUCUCUUCAUAUUCUAUUCCAUUCCAGACCGUCUUGGACUACCAGCCUGUCCGCCACCCCUCGGGGCCCUCCCUCCUACUCUGCCCUUGCCCGCUGAGGUCCCAAGCUGAGGAGAUGAGCAGAGCAGUAAAAAGAGAGGAGGUUUGGAAAAGCAAUGUCCUCUCAGUCUUUAACAGGUGGCCCCCCUAGGAACCUGCUGGAAGUGGAAGUUAAUAAGCUGAAGGUGGUCACAACCAAUCUCUGCCACACUCGCACCCUCCGCCACCCCAAAUCAUUCCUUUUAAUUAAUAGUGGAAGACCUUUUUAAAAAUGUAACAUGAAUUGGCUAUUUCUUGAGGCAAACAAAAGGUGGCUCUGAAGCGAUAUAUUUGUACUUGUAUAAAUUCAUUAAAAUAGAAAGCUUAUAACCA